UGGCUAUACCUCUUCCUCACAACAAAACUAUCCCAACCUACUUGGUUGAGAAGAUACAUAACAUUGUCUCUUAAUCCUAAGGUAGUCAGGGUCAAUCCAUCGGGAUAUAUAGAAAGUGCCAUUUCCCUCUGUGCUAACAUGUCAAAACGGCGCCUCUGAUUUUCUCUCCUAAAUAUAGCCUCCAUAUUGUCAACAGGCUUCAUACUCCUAAGUUAGUGAUAAGCUAUCCUAAGCUAUGUUAUCCUGAAAGUAAACAAAGGUUAUACUAUUAGUAAAAGGUACCGCAUGGAAGUGUUAGAAUAGUUAGUAAUAGUAUUAAUAAUAAAGAAAAGAGAAAAAAACAUAGAAUAAAAAAAAAUGAAAACAACUAAA
rnacentral:lncRNA from 1 species